rnacentral:rRNA from 1 species
GUCGAACGGGUAACAGGGUCUUCGGACGCUGACGAGUGGCGAACGGGUGAGUAAUACAUCGGAACGUGCCCAGUCGUGGGGGAUAACUACUCGAAAGAGUAGCUAAUACCGCAUACGAUCUGAGGAUGAAAGCGGGGGACCUUCGGGCCUCGCGCGAUUGGAGCGGCCGAUGGCAGAUUAGGUAGUUGGUGGGAUAAAAGCUUACCAAGCCGACGAUCUGUAGCUGGUCUGAGAGGACGACCAGCCACACUGGGACUGAGACACGGCCCAGACUCCUACGGGAGGCAGCAGUGGGGAAUUUUGGACAAUGGGCGAAAGCCUGAUCCAGCAAUGCCGCGUGCAGGAUGAAGGCCUUCGGGUUGUAAACUGCUUUUGUACGGAACGAAAAAGCUUCUCCUAAUACGAGAGGUCCAUGACGGUACCGUAAGAAUAAGCACCGGCUAACUACGUGCCAGCAGCCGCGGUAAU